rnacentral:rRNA from 1 species
CCUACGGGAGGCAGCAGUGGGGAAUAUUGCACAAUGGGGGAAACCCUGAUGCAGCGACGCCGCGUGAGCGAAGAAGUAUUUCGGUAUGUAAAGCUCUAUCAGCAGGGAAGAUAAUGACGGUACCUGACUAAGAAGCACCGGCUAAAUACGUGCCAGCAGCCGCGGUAAUACGUAUGGUGCAAGCGUUAUCCGGAUUUACUGGGUGUAAAGGGAGCGCAGGCGGUGCGGCAAGUCUGAUGUGAAAGCCCGGGGCUCAACCCCGGUACUGCAUUGGAAACUGUCGUACUAGAGUGUCGGAGGGGUAAGCGGAAUUCCUAGUGUAGCGGUGAAAUGCGUAGAUAUUAGGAGGAACACCAGUGGCGAAGGCGGCUUACUGGACGAUAACUGACGCUGAGGCUCGAAAGCGUGGGGAGCAAACAGGAUUAGAUACCCCAGUAGUC